AUUGAACGCUGGCGGCAUGCUUUACACAUGCAAGUCGAACGGUAACAGCACUCCGUUGGCUGACGAGUGGCGGACGGGUGCGGAAUAGUACGGCAUGUGCCACGUAGUUGGGGAUAACUACUCGCAAGAGUAGCUAAUACCGCAUAAGAUCUAAGGAUGAAAGCAGGGGACCUCCGGACCUUGCGCUACUAGUGCGGCUGAUGGCAGAUUAGGCAGUUGGUGGGAUAAAAGCUUACCAAGGCGACGAUCUGUAGCUGAUCUGAGAGGACGACCAGCCACACUGGAACUGAGACACGGCCCAGACUCCUACGGGAGGCAGCAGUGGGGAAUCUUGGGCAAUGGGCGAAAGCCUGACGCAGCAACGCCGCGUGAAGGAUGAAGGUCUUCGGAUUGUAAACUGCUGUUGUAAGGAAAGAAAAGCCGUGUACUAAUACAGGAGGGUCAUGACGGUACCGAAAGAAAAAGCACCGGCUAACUACGUG
rnacentral:rRNA from 1 species